rnacentral:rRNA from 1 species
UACGAAGGGGGCUAGCGUUGUUCGGAAUUACUGGGCGUAAAGCGCACGUAGGCGGAUAUUUAAGUCAGGGGUGAAAUCCCAGAGCUCAACUCUGGAACUGCCUUUGAUACUGGGUAUCUUGAGUAUGGAAGAGGUAAGUGGAAUUGCGAGUGUAGAGGUGAAAUUCGUAGAUAUUCGCAGGAACACAGUGGCGAAGGCGGCUUACUGGUCCAUAACUGACGCUGAGGUGCGGAAAGCGUGGGGAGCAAACAGGG